UCAGGGUGUGUUUUAAAAAAAAAUUAUUUAAAAACUUACAUAAUAAUUAUGGAUUAUCUUGAUUAUAGUAGAAUAAGGAUCAAAUCCCCAGAGGUUGCUUGAAUCCGAUGCCUCGUGAGGCUAUAGGGAAGAGGGAUGAUCUUCUUUUCACCAAACCUUCUAAAGGCAGCAAGAGAAGGGAGAUAUAUGAUUCUGGAUGU
rnacentral:lncRNA from 1 species